UACGUAGGUGGCAAGCGUUGUUCGGAAUUAUUGGGCGUAAAGCGCGCGUAGGCGGCCACUUAAGUCGGAUGUGAAAGCCCCUGGCUCAACUGGGGAAGUGCACCCGAAACUGAAUGGCUUGAAUGCAAAAGAGGGUCGCGGAAUUCCCGGUGUAGAGGUGAAAUUCGUAGAUAUCGGGAGGAACACCGGUGGCGAAGGCGGCGACCUGGGUUGACAUUGACGCUGAGGCGCGAAAGCGUGGGGAGCAAACAGG
rnacentral:rRNA from 1 species